GGAUGAACGCUAGCGGCAGGCUUAAUACAUGCAAGUCGAGGGGUAACAUGGGUAGCAAUACCUGAUGACGACCGGCAAACGGGUGCGGAACACGUACGCAACCUUCCCAAAACUGGUGAAUAGCCCUCCGAAAGGAGGAUUAAUACACCGUACCAUAAUGAAGAGGCAUCUCUUUAUCAUUAUAGGCAGCAAUGUCGGUUUUGGAUGGGCGUGCGCCUGAUUAGGAGUUGGCGGGGUAACGGCCCACCAAGCCUGCGAUCAGUAACUGGUGUGAGAGCACGACCAGUCACACGGGCACUGAGACACGGGCCCGACUCCUACGGGAGGCAGCAGUAAGGAAUAUUGGUCAAUGGACGAAAGUCUGAACCAGCCAUGCCGCGUGAAGGAUGAAGGCCCUCUGGGUUGUAAACUUCUUUUAUAGGGGACGAAAAAGCUCAUUCUUGAGCACUUGACGGUACCCUAGGAAUAAGCACCGGCUAACUCCGUGCC
rnacentral:rRNA from 1 species